rnacentral:lncRNA from 1 species
GCACGCAUCUCUUUCAUCAGCCUUGCAGCUUCCUCAAACAUGCCAGCACGACUAAGACAACCAAGAAUGGUGUUGUAAGAGACAGCAUCGGGUUUAAUUUUUGAAUGUUUCAUCUUUGUAAACAUCUCGAUCGCCCGUUGGGGAUCACUGGUCUUGGCCAAACCAUUUAGUAUUAUGUUGAAUGAGUUUAUUUGAAUGUUUCAUCUUUGUAAACAUCUCAAUCGCCCGUUGUGGAUCACUGGUCUUGGCCAAACCAUUUAGUAUUAUGUUGAAUGAGUUUAAGUCGGGAGCACAACCAUUUUCCUCCAUAGCACGAAGCAUGGAAAAAGCGUCAUCUAGCAUACCUGCUCUCACCAGC